AAUGAACGCUGGCGGCAUGCCUAACACAUGCAAGUCGAACGAAGGCUUCGGCCUUAGUGGCGCACGGGUGCGUAACGCGUGGGAAUCUGCCCUUGGGUUCGGAAUAACAGUUAGAAAUGACUGCUAAUACCGGAUGAUGUCGCAAGACCAAAGAUUUAUCGGCAAAGGAUGAGCCCGCGUAGGAUUAGCUGGUUGGUGAGGUAAAGGCUCACCAAGGCGACGAUCCUUAGCUGGUCUGCGAGGAUGAUCAGCCACACUGGGACUGAGACACGGCCCAGACUCCUACGGGAGGCAGCAGUGGGGAAUAUUGGACAAUGGGCGAAAGCCUGAUCCAGCAAUGCCGCGUGAGUGAUGAAGGCCUUAGGGUUGUAAAGCUCUUUUACCCGGGAUGAUAAUGACAGUACCGGGAGAAUAAGCUCCGGCUAACUCCGUGCCAGCCGCCGCCGUAACAC
rnacentral:rRNA from 1 species